AAUUAGCAAAUUUAUAGCCUAUAUAAAUUUAAGUUAAUGAGACAAGGUGUGAUGGUAAGAUGAGGAGGUAGAUAUGGUUUAUAUCAACCUAAUCUUUGACAGUUUGGUCAAAGAUCUUGACAGAUAGGUCAAAGAUCAUUUUCUGCCAGCUAGCACACAUUCACGUGAACAAACCGUGAAACAUACUGUGAACCAAUUGAAAACCUUGUAUGACUCUGUUCUGUGCUUUGACCAAUCACAGGGCAUAAUACAGCCCAUCCUAAUUGGCACAUAACAUGCACGAGUUUAUGCAAAAUAACGUAAUUUACUCUGAGAUGUCGACAGAGUAACAUUAUCGAAAGAUUUUCAAAAUAUAACUCUACCGCGGGCAAGCACUUUUUUACUCUUCUGGUGGACAAAGGAAUACGUUGGCUCAAGUACCGAUAUGUGAUUCAGGGAGACGUAGUUUAUUCAAACAUAACUCUGCCGCGGGCAAGGACUUGUACUCGUCUGGUGGACAAAAGAAUACGUUGGCUGAAGUAUCGAUGUACUAUCCAGUGAGACGCAGUUUAUCCAAUAUAACUCUACCGUAGUCAAGUGCUUUUACUCUUCUGGUGGACUAAUGAAUACGUUGGCUCAAGUACCGAUGAAGUUAUUAAUAGCGUCAGCCGCUGGUGGAAUUAUAACAAGAUCGAGAGGCUACAUAAACACGGAUUCAACUAGCGUACAUGCUUAUUAUUAAAGUGAAACGGAUAUAUUUGGUGCGUAUAAAGUAUGCGGUGAAUUCACACGUUUGCUUCGUAUUCCGUUUUUCAAACCAACCAAAAUGCUUUAACUUCGUCUAUUUUAUCACAGAAUUUGGGUAUAUAUAGUAAUUGUCGAAGGCCAAAUGUAUCGACUAUUCACGCUAAAUCGAUCUGUAUUUCAAUGUCAACCGCAUUACAUUGAGGUUAUUAACCUGCCAGAUUGGGCCUCUGAUUUCAUAUUCCGCUUCCCAAACCAAUCAAAAUCUACUAAAUUCGUCUAUUUUAUAACGACAUUUACAUUCUGGUGUAUUAUUUCUCGAUCAAAAAUUCCAAUGAGUCAAAUCAGUCAAUGACAAUUUUAUUACCACCUUGAGGUUAGCCGCUGAUUAGGCUUCAGAUUAUGCCUCAGAUUCGGCGUUGGAUUGGGUUUCAAUCAGCAUUCAAGCUUUACAUUAAACUGUAUUCAAUCGUUCAAAAGUAGACUUAUAAACUUCUUUUUCAGGUAUUUCAGAGUGCACGUUAAUAAAACCUAACAUUAAUUGGACCUGCAUACAUUGUCAAUACAUUACUGUUCAAAACAUAAGAAAGCAAGCUCAUUUGUUAACAAAAUUUAAGAUUUCAAACUCUGCACAUAUAUAUUUAUCUACAUUUGCGAUAAGUCGGCAAGAUGGAUAUCAUGAAAGAUUGGUACUGAAUUAACAACACCAUGCAUGCCUACGCUCAUGAAAAUUGAAAAUUCUUCCAUAUACUAUCAUUUAAUUAACUGCAUGAUAUAUUUAGUCUAGCAAAUACAUAUUUUACAAUUUCUGCUAAUAUCAUGAAUGCAUGAUUGGAUGUCCGAUCGCAAUACUGUGGUUAUAAGCACCUGAAUUGCAAUUUGGUCCUGCUAUUUCGAAUUAAAGUAACGAACAAGCUGUAUUUCUGAGAGUAAUGUUACGUAACUCAAGAAAGUUCCACCAAUCAUAAUUGAAAUAAAAUAAGAGUGAUAAAUGUUGUGCAAAAUGCCUUGAUGAAAACAUUUACAUAAAAAAAAAAAAAUUAAUAAAUAAAUAAAUAAAAAUAAAUAAAUAAAUAAAAUGUGCCUUGAUGGUGAGCUUUGUUUGUCGUGUUACCAACCCUCCAAUUAAGAACUUGUAAUAUAGAAGCUUUGUGGGGAAGCUGCUGGUUGUCUUGGCCCCAUCCAGGUUUCCUGUAUAUUCCAGGUUUUUUCUGGCCUCCCUGACUAUCCAGCUAUAGUAUGAGUGAUGGUAACGCUCAAAUAUAUGUCAAACUUUCAUCUGGCAGCAGCUGUCUUGCAACUCUAUUUGGGGUAUCAGCCACUUUGACAGAUGUGCUAACCGCUAAAGAACUAUCAAUGUUUCGGGGGGAGGGUUCGUCUAUGGGGAAUACACAUUCUGUGUAUUUGUGGGGAUGAAGUCUCCAUAAAAUGUCAACUUCAGGCCCAUAGACUCAAUAUAUGUCACACAUAAUAUAUCUAAAUCUAAGGACUGUCCAUGGGGGUUUACCCCCCAUGUUCAGUUUAAGGACUGGCCAUAUGGGUUUAGUGCCUUUGGUCAGGUUAAGGACUGUCCAUAGGGGUUUUGCGCUCCGAUUGGUCAGGGUAAGGACUGUCCAUACUGGGGUUUCGUGCUCCAGUUGGUCAGGUUAGGACUGUCCAAGUGAAUCUUGGUCAGAUUAUCAGUGCCAGUUCAGAAUCAGUGCAGCUAAUAGGGUGUGACAUAUGAGUAGGCAUGAUGCUUGUCAUAUACUGUAAAUGGACUCUUCACAACCCCGAACCCCUUUCCCACAAAAAUAAAUAAUAGUGUUUAAAUUAAUAUGUGUUUGUCAAGAAAGUGGAGGAAAAAUCAACAACUUGAGUCAUUAAGUAAAAGUUAAGUUAUUUGCGGAUGAUACCAUUGUUAUUGCAUCUAGUGAUAGAGACCAGAUUCAGGAGCUGCAAAAUAAGCUACAAAGGGAAAUGGCAAACGUCCAUGAAUGGGCAACUUUAAAUAAUUUACCACUGAAUGCGGAUAAGACGAAGAUUAUGG
rnacentral:lncRNA from 1 species